UUUCUCUGGGUUCUUUUCAGAUCGUAUAAAUCUUUCACCUUUUACUAAAGAUUUACAUGGAGAGGAACAACAGUUGGGGGGUUGGAACUAGAUGAUCUUUAAGGUUUCUUCUAAUCCCA